CAAUUAAGGUACUGAAUAUGAUUAAACUUUAUGGGAAACCAAUACGAGUGAAUAAGGCAUCUCAAGAUAAAAAGAGUGUUGAUGUUGGUGCCAACUUGUUUGUUGGGAACCUUGAUCCUGAUGUAGAUGAGAAGCUUCUAUACGACACUUUUAGUGCUUUUGGAGUUGUUGUCUCAAAUCCAAAGGUUUAAGUCAUUUCUCUUCUACUUUCAUAUGAUUCAUGAUUCUUCAUUUUGCUGCUUUUAAAGAUGCGUGUCUGGACUUCCUAUGUAGUAAAGAAAAAAGAAGAGCUCAAUCUGUAUUGAUUAAUUCUUGCCUAUUUUGUAUCCCUGCUUCAGAUUAUGUUUUUAAAUCCUAACAAUCUGCUAGUGAGUAUUGUAUCCAUACAUCCUCUAACAAACAUCUAACCCUUGUAAAGUUGAUUCUCUAGGUUCUUUCGUGUCCUUUAUUUUCAUUUUUCAAUUGGGUGGGGGGAGCCCGAAAAAGACGGUUCCUUGAUGGUUGCAAUGUCAUUAAUGAUUGUCCUCCUUACUUAGCAUAGAGAUAUUGACCAAACUGCUAGUGCAUUCCGAUCUAGUUUGAACAUUGAGCCAUUUUUUCUUCAUUUAAUAAUCAAUAUACAUCUUUCAAAUUACUCGCCCUGGCAAACAUAGCACUAGCAGAUCAUCAAAAAACUGUAGGUGGUUCACUUUUACACCACCUUGCGUUAACAUCUAUAUCUGCAUCACUUAAGACAACUCUCACUACUUUGUUGUCCAUCACGGUAGUCAGUGCUUCUGGUAUUAAUAUGAUGAGCAUGCAUCGAAUAUUUGUCUCCUUUCCGUAAAAGCAUUUUGAGAUGUUGAUCCAUUACAUCUAGUACCUAGCCUCAACGACCUUGUUAGUCUGGCAAAAGCACCUCAACAAAUAUCUUAUUGUUGUUUCCCACUUGACCUAAAUAUAAAGUCUCUGGUUUUGAAUGUCCUUUGGGAUGAGUGCUAUCAAAGAUGUAUUGAAACUUAUGAAUACUUGACCAUGUUCUAGCAUUGGUGAAAUAGUGGCCAUUUUGAAGCCAUCAAUGGCUAGUGUUUUUCUCCCGCACAGCUUUUAAAUAC